rnacentral:lncRNA from 1 species
NNNNNNNNNNNNNNCUCCUCCUCCUCCCCCAAAAAAUCAGAUGGUUUUCAAAAAUAAGGCGUCCAAGCGUCCCAUGGCGCGGUGCAGGGAGCCAGCCCCGGCGCGGCGGUCUCGGUGCUGCCUGCAAAGGAGAAAAGAAAGGGGAGGUACGGUUAGCCGAUAUGCCCCGACACCCCCCUGCUCACAGCCACCCCCAAAAAUAACCCCCCAAAACCCACCCUCACCUUCCCGGAGUGGAGGGUAGAGAAGGGGAAAGAAGCGGGGAAGAAAAAAAAAAAAAAUCCAAAAAAAAAUCUAAGGAAAACUUGUGGCAAAAGGCAGGGGCCAAAAAAAAAAAAAAUGAAUUAAGUAGUUAAAAAUAGCAUUUUAAGAAUUUAAACUUUUUUCCCCAAGAGUUACAUUGGUCACGGUCGCAGCCCGGGCCGGGGAGCGCCCGCCCGCAGCCCGGCUCCGGCGGGACCGAGGCACCGCGCUUCGCCCCGGAAAACAAACACACAAAUCCCACAACAACAACAGAGAAAAAAAACCCCACCCACUCAAAUAUUUCUUCUCUUUCUUUCUUUUUUUUCACCCUUUUUUUUUUUUUUAGUUCUUUUAUUUUAUUUUUUUUUCUCCUUUUUCUUUAUUUCUCUCCCGCCGCGGGCUCCGGCGGCGGCAUCGCUUCCCGCAGCUUCGUUUCUCGCCUCUUUUGGAGCCCAUUCCCACGGCUCCAAGCCACCGAUUUGGCUUGUUGUUUGGGCUUUUUUUAAUUAUUAUUAUUUUUCCUUUUCCCAGCGCCGCUUUCACUCGGGAAAACAAAACCCGUAUUAUCAUUUCCCGGCACAGGAAAAAAAAAAAAAACACCAAAAAAAACCAACCCAACCAUAUAUAAAAAACUAUCUAUAUUUAUACAUGAAGCCUGAUGAAAGGCUCCACUCUCCGGCCGUAUUUUGCACUGGGAUAGCAAGAAGUAAUAACCACAGCGGGGAUAAAGUGGAGGUUCUCUCCCUCAAACCCUCUCCAAGCGCUACCGGAGCCCCGGGAGCCGCCGCUCCGGCUCCGCCGCCCGUCCCGGCUCCCGGGCGGGCGCUCCACCGCGGGGGAGGGACGAUUAAAAAUAAACAAAACAAAGUAAAAAAAAAAAAGCAAGAAAGAAGGGAUAAAUAUAAAAUUAUGUCCCAAAAAAUCUCACUGAUUUGCUUUGUCGGGGCUUUUAAAAAAUUAUUUUCGGGUGGAUUUCAGAAUUAUUUAAACCCUGCCUGCGUGGCUGCUCGGGGCGAGCCUCACCCCGGGGACUGCGGGAGCGGCCGGAUCCCGGCUGGAAAGUAACCAAUAAAGGGGAAAACGGCUAAAAAGGGGCA